rnacentral:rRNA from 1 species
AUUGAACGCUGGCGGUAUGCCUUACACAUGCAAGUCGAACGGUAGAGGGGCAACCCUUGAGAGUGGCGAACGGGUGAGUAAUACAUCGGAACGUGCCCAGUCGUGGGGGAUAACGUAGCGAAAGCUACGCUAAUACCGCAUACGACCUGAGGGUGAAAGCGGGGGAUCGCAAGACCUCGCGCGAUUGGAGCGGCCGAUGGCAGAUUAGGUAGUGGGUGGGGUAAAGGCCUCCAAAGCCUGCGAUCUGUAGCUGGUCUGAGAGGACGACCAGCCACACUGGGACUGAGACACGGCCCAGACUCCUACGGGAGGCAGCAGUGGGGAAUUUUGGACAAUGGGCGAAAGCCUGAUCCAGCCAUACCGCGUGCGGGAAGAAGGCCUUCGGGUUGUAAACCGCUUUUGUCAGGGAAGAAAUCUUCUGGGUUAAUACCUCGGGAGGAUGACGGUACCUGAAGAAUAAGCACCGGCUAACUACGUGCCAGCCGCCGCCGUAAAAC